rnacentral:rRNA from 1 species
GAGUUUGAUCCUGGCUCAGGAUGAACGCUGGCGGCGUGCCUAAUACAUGCAAGUCGAGCGAACUGAUUAGAAGCUUGCUUCUAUGACGUUAGCGGCGGACGGGUGAGUAACACGUGGGCAACCUGCCUGUAAGACUGGGAUAACUUCGGGAAACCGAAGCUAAUACCGGAUAGGAUCUUCUCCUUCAUGGGAGAUGAUUGAAAGAUGGUUUCGGCUAUCACUUACAGAUGGGCCCGCGGUGCAUUAGCUAGUUGGUGAGGUAACGGCUCACCAAGGCAACGAUGCAUAGCCGACCUGAGAGGGUGAUCGGCCACACUGGGACUGAGACACGGCCCAGACUCCUACGGGAGGCAGCGGUAGGGAAUUGUUCGCAAUGGGCGCAAGCCUGACGACGCAACGCCGCCGUGGAGGAUGAAGAUCUUCGGGUCGUAAAC